CCUACGGGAGGCAGCAGUGGGGAAUAUUGCUCAAUGGGCGAAAGCCUGACGCAGCGACGCCGCGUGAGGGAUGAAGGUCUUCGGAUCGUCAACCUCUGUCAGCAGGGAAGCACGGUCACUGUGCUAAUCAGCAGUGAAUUGACGGUACCUGCAAGGGAAGCACCGGCUAACUCCGUUCCAGCAGCCGCGGUAAUACGGAGGGUGCGAGCGUUCAUCGGAAUUACGGGGCGUAAAGCGCUCGUAGGCGGUAUGUUAAGUCAAGGGUGAAAUCCCCGCGCUCAACGUGGGAACUGCCUUUGAAACUGGCAAACUGGAGUGUGGUAGAGGAUAGUGGAAUUCCAGGUGUAGGAGUGAAAUACGUAGAUAUCUGGAGGAACACCAGUGGCGAAGGCGACUAUCUGGCACAUAACUGACGCUGAGGAGCGAAAGCGUGGGUAGCAAACAGGAUUAGAUACCCGGGUAGUC
rnacentral:rRNA from 1 species